rnacentral:rRNA from 1 species
UACGUAGGGGGCAAGCGUUGUCCGGAAUUAUUGGGCGUAAAGAGCGCGUAGGCGGUCCGAUAAGUCGGCUGUGAAAGUCAAGGGCUCAACCCUUGGAAGCCGGCCGAUACUGUCGGACUAGAGUCCGGAAGAGGCGAGUGGAAUUCCCGGUGUAGCGGUGAAAUGCGCAGAUAUCGGGAGGAACACCAAUUGCGAAGGCAGCUCGCUGGGACGGUACUGACGCUGAGGCGCGAAAGCGUGGGGAGCGAACAGG